UCCCAUCUGUGUACCUUGCUCUGUAAAAUGAGGACAUUGCUGGGUGGCUCUUCAUGAGCUACUGGGACAGCAUCUGGCAUAUUAGCACCAUUUAAGGGUUUGUGGACACAGUGAUAAUAACGUGCAGUCCAUGCUCCCAGCCUUUCUGCCUCCCGCCAACAGCCCCUCAAAGGAACCCUAAACCCAGGACUUGAGGGACGCGGCAUCAUUCAUUCUGAAUUUUUCUGCUUCCCAGCAGCCCCUGGUCCAGGUCUACUCCGGAUUCCCCCUGGGGGCUCCAGCUACAAACCCUGCGGCCUUCUCUGUUCUGACAGUUUCCCCAGAGUGUCGGGCCCAGCCUCCAGGGAGAAGGGCUGCCUGCACCGCUCCCUGAGCCCUGCUUUGGGGUCUGGGUUUUCUGGGAGAAGCCUCUCGCUUCCAGGGCCAGCUGGGACUGUCCUGGGAAGGUCUCUCUUCUGCUCCUGGUGACCAGGAUUUGGGGGCUCUGUGGGGAUCUGUGGGCCAGCCCAGUGAUGCUACCAUUCCUCGAUGGGGUGGGGGUCAGGGCCCAGCACCCCCAGGCUCCAGAAUAGCCACAGUAGGUGGAGGCCACAUCCUCCCACAGUCAUGUCCUGGGCCAGGCCCAGCAGGCGCUGGGGCUGACUCCUCCUCGGGCCACGGAUUCAAGAAGGACUGAGGUGGAAGACCUGGGCCCCGACUGCCACCCCGCCACUCAGGUGGUCCCAGGAAAAUAGCCCCAGCUCUGGCACCUCCAAGCCACCCUCCCAAGCCAGCGUGUCCUAGGGCCGCCCCUUUCCGCUGGCGCAGCCCUGACCGGGCAGCGAGCACUCCACGCGUCCUCCUGAUUCCCCACACCAGAGUGACCUGGCUGCUCAGAGAGGCUCCUCCUGGCUCCAGCUUUGCUUCCCAUCCCUUCCCUUUUCCAGGGACCGACGUUCCUGUUUGGAGCUUGCCCAUGGGGAGGGGACUUCCCGGCAAGCCCCCCGGCGCUCUGUGCCAGCCAUGGUGACCAUUUUCAGCUCAUCAUUUGGGUCAGGCAGGGCGCGUGGCUCUGGAGGUAGAAGAGGGAAAAACAGUAACCACGGAGCUAAGGAGUCACCGCCAGGGUGACUGGUGACGCCCUACUAUGCAGCACGCUUUUCACCCUUGUUUAGUCCCUUCCUUCUCUGCUCGUCCCCAGGCAGAGGGUCCUCUGUCAUCCCCACCUUCAGAAGAAGACCCUGAGGCUCGGGCAGCUGGGGGGCAUCAUCCAGGGUCACAUGGACCAGAGCGGCAGGUCCGUCUGGCUGGCACGUGCCAGGAGCCUCCCCGCCCUGCCUGCCAGUACCUCCAGGGACGGCGGAAACCCUGAGUCUCCACGGCCUGCAGGCUUCAUCUGGGGCACCAGGCAUCGGGGCUUCAGGAGCAGGACGUCUGGGCUAGUGUCCCAGGUCCCUUUUCCCCAUCUCCAUCUGGAAGCCUCCCAGGCACGACCGGAGCCCUGCCUGGCACCUGUGAGCGCUUGGUGAGUGCUGGCAGCCUCCGGGAGCGGUGAACCCACAAAUGGAUGGACAGACAAGCAAGCGAGAAAUCAUCCACCAGGGUGUGCCCCCACCCUGGCUGGUUGAUCCCCAGGGUCCAGCUCCCCCAGGGAAUCAGGUGACCCUGAGGAGGGUGGGACCACAGAGAGGUGUGAUGUGGCUGCUGGCCCUGGCCCCCAGGCCCCAGGAGGCCCAGAUUUUUGCAGAUCGGGACCCAGCUGUCCUGCAAGGCCUGACCCCGUCAAGGAGGCCCCUCCGUCCUUCCAGUGCCGGCCUCAUCCAGGAGGGCAAGCUCUGUGGAGACCCCGAGGGCUGCUCUGCCGAGGGGGGUCAACAGGACCCCGCUGGCCUCCCCAGGGCCGCACACCCCUGUUUUCUCUGAACACAUCCCCGUGUCCAGCUGUUCUCAAGUCACUGAGGACAAAGGACCCAGCUGGGGUUACCUUGGUCUUCGGGGCUCGGCUUCGGUUGCCAGCUCAGUUUUAUGAGCUGUUUAAUCUGCACUCUUUCCCCGUGCCCUCCAGGAUGGCCUCGGACGGUAACUCCAGCUGUCUAGACAGAGGCCGCCCCGACAGGGCCGCAAAUAAAAAUAGCUCCGUGUCCCAGGCCCUGGAAAGAGCAGGGAGGGGUGAGCAGCUCCCGCAGGCUGGCUGCGCCUGGGCUCCCCCAGCCCCUGGCAGGCCCUGGUUCUGCCCCAUGCCCACCUCCCUGCAGAGCCCAGGUGGUCCGCAGAGGCGGUGAGGGAGGAGGCCUAGUGGUCCUGAGUGGCCCUCACAGGACCAAGGUGGCGAAGCACCUCACCCCCCCCCCCGUGGCACUUCCCCUCCAUCUGACCCCCAGGGGCAACCUGGGCAGUUGGACCCUGCGGCCAGUUAGGACUUCAACUUGGACUCAGUCAGUGCUCCAUCCACUGCUCUCGGGCCUGGGAUGAGAGAGGCCCAGACUGGAGGCCAAGGCACGUGGUCAGGAUUUUCAGUCACAUGUCUUUCCGUCCCUGUCCACGGAAGGACAUGGUGGGUCCCUGCUCCCUCUGCCCCUCACUUACUGCCUUGUUCCCCACUGUCUCCUAGUGUCAGUUCAGGGCCUGCUCCAGGAGCCAGGAGAGGCUGGGCUGAGCUCAGAGCAACAGGCAGGCAGAGGGAGCUCAGGGUGCCCCCUGAGCCCGGUGGGCAGGCAGGCAGGCACUGCUGACACACUGUGGCGUGCCUGGAGCGUGCAGGAGCCUCGCUGAGUGUCUCCAGGUAGGGUGGGGGCAGGUAAAAGAAGCUUGCUGCUCCGGGAUCCGCCAUAGCCCCGAGUCCCCUGUUCCCCACAUGUUCUCAGAGGGUAGUUUAUGUCAGCACCUUCAGAGGUGAGGUGCCCUGGUGCACACACAACCUGAACACCUCUGCAAGGCAGCCCUAUGCCACCUCUCCUCCCCCCACCCCUGGGUCCAGUCAGAUCAAGUCUCUGCAAUAAACCCUGGCUCCUUUGUG